GCCAAUUAGAGCACACCAUUCUCAAAAACAAAGAAAAAAAAAAACAAAAAAAAAACGAACAUGGAACUUCAGGAAUGGCUCAAUAAAAACAAAGACAAAUAAGUCCAACAUGCAAACCAUCCUAUGAAUUAUACUACCGCUGUGGAAGUAACCUGUAGAUAUACUGCUUGGUCAAUUCCAUUUAAAAAAAAUAUACAACAGUAUGUAUGAACAACAAUCCCAUACUCACUAGAAGUGUUUCACUAAUGCACCAGACUACGUACAAAAUCAUGUCUGUCCUACGAGUCGGCCAGACCUCCUAAAGUCUGUCUCAAGAGUCAGAAGUUCCCAUGCUUGGAGAGACACAGCUCUGUCUCCGUUUGUACACGGGGGUAGCGACACCGACAGACGGCUAAACUAUCAUGUCCUCUAAGGUGGCUUCAGUGUGUUCACGGUGUGGGCCCCUAUACAGACACAGACAGUCUGGAAGGGGCAGGCACACCAUAUGGUGGUGGUGGUGGGAGGACAUGACACCACCAUAGAGACACUGACAUCUCCCAACACCACCAUAGAGACACUGACAGUCUCCAACACCACCAUAGAGACACUGACAGUCUCCAACACCACCAUAGAGACACUGACAGUCUCCAACACCACCAUAGAGACACUGACCAUCUCCAACACCACCAUAGAGACACUGACAGUCUCCAACACCACCAUAGACACACUGACAGGGUCCAACACCACCAUAGAGACACUGACCGUCUCCCAACACCACCAUAGAGACACUGACAGUCUGGAGGGGGGCCAGACACACCAUGUGGUGGUGGUGGUGGGAGGACAUGACACCACCAUAGAGACACUGACAGUCUCCAACACCACCAUAGAGACACUGAUAGUCUCCAACACCAGUUGUGUCUUACUUUAAAACAAUUUACAUAUUGGGAUAUUAUUUGACGACAUGUUGAGACAAUAUCAGUUUGACAAUAUCCCAAUAUUAUUUAAUGCGCUAGUUGGCUGGCUGUACCAGCACAAAAAACUCCAGUAUUUUUCCUUCAUAGGUGUUGUUCUCCAUCUUCUUUUUAAAUUGGGAGUCAAUUUGUUUUCAGCACUUUUAAUUCAUAGACUGAUCAAAACUCAUUUUCUCCUGGCUCGCUCUCUUGUCCCUCUGCAGCAGACAUGUGGUGAGCAAUGUUUGGAACAUCGAAUCGCAAUGAAAUCACAGUAUCGAAUCACAAUACAAAUAGAAUCGUGAGAAUCACAAUACAAAUAGAAUCGUGAGAAUCACAAUACAAAUAGAAUUGUGAGAAUCACAAUACAAAUCGUAUCGGCACCUAAGUAUG
ensembl:lncRNA